rnacentral:rRNA from 1 species
GCGUGUAGGCGGCUUUGCAGGUCCGCUGUGAAAACUCGAGGCUCAACCUCGAGCUGUCGGUGGAAACCGUGAAGCUAGAGUCCGGAAGAGGAGAGUGGAAUUCCCGGUGUAGCGGUGAAAUGCGCAGAUAUCGGGAAGAACACCCGUGGCGAAGGCGGCUCUCUGGGACGGUACUGACGCUGAGACGCGAAAGCGUGGGGAGCGAACAGGAUUAGAUACCCUGGUAGUCCACGCCGUAAACGAUGGGUGCUAGGUGUGGGAGGUGUCCACUCCUCCCGUGCCGAAGCUAACGCAUUAAGCACCCCGCCUGGGGAGUACGGCCGCAAGGCUAAAACUCAAAGGAAUUGACGGGGGCCCGCACAAGCCGCGGAACAUGUGGUUUAAUUCGACGCAACCCGAAGAACCUUACCAGGGCCUGACAUGCACUGGAAUGUCGGAAAAAUUCGGCAGCCUUUCGGGGCCAGUGCACAGGUGGUGCAUGGC